rnacentral:rRNA from 1 species
UACGUAGGGGGCAAGCGUUGUCCGGAAUCAUUGGGCGUAAAGAGCGUGUAGGCGGUCCGGUCAGUCGGUUGUGAAAGUCAAGGGCUCAACCCUUGAAUGCCGGCCGAUACUGCCGGGCUAGAGUCCGGAAGAGGUGAGUGGAAUUCCUGGUGUAGCGGUGAAAUGCGCAGAUAUCAGGAGGAACACCGAUGGCGAAGGCAGCUCACUGGGACGGUACUGACGCUGAGGUGCGAAAGCGUGGGGAGCAAACAGG